rnacentral:lncRNA from 1 species
GCGUGAAAGUGAUAGCUGGACCACUGGGGGUAUAACUGAGGGAGUAGAUGCUACAUGGCUCUUUGUGAGAGAGUGUACCUCUGCUCGUAAUAUAUCCAAAUUUCCCCUCAUCUUGGGUAGAUCCAGUGCCUCUAUAUUUGUAAAUUGGGUUGUAACCCAUCUCUUAAAAUCACUAAGAUGUGCUUGGAAGUCAUCAUGUAGCUCAGACAGUACAGCUCUCUGUACGGCCUUCCAUCUAGCCUCUACCUACUUGAAUCAAAUCCAAACCCCUGAUCUCAUCUGCCCGUAUAGUGCGGUCUCAGCAACCUACAAUCGAGCAUCAGUG